rnacentral:rRNA from 1 species
AUUGAACGCUGGCGGCAUGCCUUACACAUGCUAGUCGAACGGUAACAGGUCUUCGGAUGCUGACGAGUGGCGAACGGGUGAGUAAUACAUCGGAACGUGCCCGAGAGUGGGGGAUAACGAGGCGAAAGCUUUGCUAAUACCGCAUACGAUCUCAGGAUGAAAGCAGGGGACCGCAAGGCCUUGCGCUAACGGAGCGGCCGAUGGCAGAUUAGGUAGUUGGUGGGAUAAAAGCUUACCAAGCCGACGAUCUGUAGCUGGUCUGAGAGGACGACCGGCCACACUGGGAAUGAGGCACGGCGCAGAAUCCGACGGGGAGCAGCAGUGGGGAGUUUUGGACACUGGGCGCAAGCCUGAUCCAGCCAUGCCGCGUGCAGGAUGAAGGCCUUCGUGUUGUAAACUGCUUUUGUACGGAACGAAAAGACUCUGGUUAAUACCUGGGGUCCAUGACGGUACCGUAAGAAUAAGCACCGGCUAACUACGUGCCAGCAGCCGCGGUAACAC